rnacentral:rRNA from 1 species
UACGGAGGGUGCAAGCGUUAUUCGGAAUUAUUGGGCGUAAAGGGCGCGUAGGCGGCCUUAUAAGUCAGAUGUGAAAGCCCGGAGCUUAACUCCGGAAGUGCAUUUGAUACUGUAAGGCUUGAGUAUGGGAGAGGGUAGUGGAAUUCCUGGUGUAGAGGUGAAAUUCGUAGAUAUCAGGAGGAACACCGGUGGCGAAGGCGGCUACCUGGACCAAUACUGACGCUGAGGCGCGAAGGCGUGGGGAGCAAACAGG